rnacentral:rRNA from 1 species
GACGAACGCUGGCGGCGUGCUUAACACAUGCAAGUCGAACGGAAAGGCCCUGCUUUUGUGGGGUGCUCGAGUGGCGAACGGGUGAGUAACACGUGAGUAACCUGCCCUUGACUUUGGGAUAACUUCAGGAAACUGGGGCUAAUACCGGAUAGGAGCUCCUGCUGCAUGGUGGGGGUUGGAAAGUUUCGGCGGUUGGGAUGGACUCGCGGCUUAUCAGCUUGUUGGUGGGGUAGUGGCUUACCAAGGCUUUGACGGGUAGCCGGCCUGAGAGGGUGACCGGCAAAAUGGGGGUGGAGGACCGCCCGAGCCCCCACCGGGGAGAGACAGGAGAAAAUAAGGCCAAGGGGGCGAAAGCUAGGAGCGACACCGCGCCGGGGGGAGGAGCGCCUGGCGGGUUAUAAACCGCUGUGGCCGGAAAGGAGGGGGGGGGGACGGAAAUGGGAAAGAGGGACCCGGCAAACUGGAG